rnacentral:rRNA from 1 species
AGAUUGAACGCUGGCGGCAGGCCUAACACAUGCAAGUCGAGCGGUAGAGAGGUGCUUGCAUCUCUUGAGAGCGGCGGACGGGUGAGUAAUGCCUAGGAAUCUGCCUAGUGGUGGGGGAUAACGUUCGGAAACGGCGCUAAUACCGCAUACGUCCUACGGGAGAAAGCGGGGACCUUCGGGCCUCGCGCCAUUAGAUGAGCCUAGGUCGAUUAGCUAGUUGGUGAGGUAAUGGCUCACCGAAGGCGACGAUCCGUAACUGGUCUGAGAGGAUGAUCAGUCACACUGGAACUGAGACACGGUCCAGACUCCGACGGGAGCAGCGAGGUAGGGAAUAGUAGGACAAGUGGGAUAAGCCUAGACUCCAGCCAGU